rnacentral:lncRNA from 1 species
GGAAAGAACCUUUAAAGAUCACCUGGUCCAACUCCCCAGCAAUGAGCAAGGAUGCCUACAGCUGAUCAGGGUGCUCAGAGCCCCUUCAGCCUGACCUUGAAUAUCUCCAAGGAUGGAGCAUUCACCAUUUCUCUGGACAAUCUGUUUCAGUGCCUCGCCACCUUUACUGUAAAAAACAAACAAAUAAACAAACAAACAAACAAAAAAAAAACAAAAAAAAACCAAACCACCUUCUUGUAUCUCCUUUGUUUUAGCUUGAAACCUCUUCCCCUUGUCCUGCCAGAACAGACAAUGCUAAGGAGUCUCUCCCCUUCUUUCUUGCAGUUCUCCUUUAGAGACUGAAAGGCUGCUACUGCAUCUCUCUGGAGCUUUCUCUUCUCCAGGCUGAACAACCCCAGCUCUCUCAGCCUGUCUUCAUAUCAGAGGUGUUCCAUCACUUGGAUCAUUUCUGUGGCCCUCCUCUAAAUGCUCUCCAACAGGUCCAUGUCUCUCCUGUACUGAGGACUCCAUAUGCAGUACUCCAGGCAUGGUCUCACCAGCACAGAGCAGAGGGGCAGGAUUGCCUUCCUCAAUCUGCCACCCAUGCUGCUUUUGAUGUAGGCAUGCUGCAAGGGCAGAAGUCUUCAUGCUGCACUGUAGAAACUCAGAGCAUCGUUAAAGUGACUCAAGGGUCCUUAUCUGUCCCUAGCACAGAUGAAAGGAGCAAGCCUGUGGGGUCACUACAAUUCACAAAGACACUUCAAUUGUCUCCCAUAUCCACAAAUUCAGGAAGUAUAUCAACUCCUCUCCAACACACAGCUGAGUGUUAUUCAGAGCUGCUUCAGUGUCCUAAAGAAUACAGCUGAGAUGGAUCCUCUGAAUGACAAUUGCACAUUAGCCUACACUGCUGCAGGUGGGAUGCAUAGCAUACAUCUUAUCCAUGCAUUGCCAAAAAAAUCUACAAAAAAGAUCAGCAAAAGAGUUUUGGCAAAUCAACAACUCUACUCCACUAUUUUCUCUCAGGAAUUGCUAUACAACAGAGCAAUUUCAAAAGUACAGGAAAGCAUACAGUCACCAGUGACAGACACUUGGAUUCAAGAGCAUCUCAACAGUUCUCUGCAUUUAAAUCUCAAGGCUGCAAUCCACAGUAAGGUUCUAAAACACCGAACAACUUUAUUAUUCUUCAGUUUUCUUCAUUAGUGGGAAAACACAAGUUCUUUCAUGUAGAGUUACUGAUAACAAAGCUGGCUGGUAGAGAAUGCCCUGCUGAAUUCACAGUGGGGCUUGCAGAAUUGGAUUGUAUAGCAACAAAUGCCAACUGCUUAAUGUCUUGCUGAAUUAUAGAUUUUGGAAGACUGUUUAAUAAGAAGGAAAGCAGUUAAGAUGGUUUCCACUGAAGUUUACACGUGUAUAAAAAGCAUGGGGUUGGCACUGAUAACAUAUCUCAGGAGGAUUAAAUUAUUGUUUCACACUCCUUAUAAAUUUGAGCCCUUACUGAUUCAUGCAUUACCCUCUCUUAUAUUAUGUAAAAGAUAUCAUUAAUAUACAAAACAUCUGGCAGCUCACUUUUUAAUAGGCGUGACUUUUUUUUUUUUCCAUAGGCAAAUGAUUUUUUCCUCCUACUUUCAUGACUUUUUUUUCUCUGAAGGUGUUAUCAUAUUUCCAAAAGAGGAAUGACCGUGCUGGAUGCCUUCACUUUGUACUUCUGUUGUUUGUAUGAUUAUGUGUUUACCAUUUAAAUUCAAUUAAUUUGAAUUAGACCACAACGUGAAGCUUUCCGCAAUUCUGCAUAGAUGAAACAUGAGGGGAUCCUACCUCGUUCAGGAUCUCAUCCAUCACUGGGAUGGGAGUCACCUUCUACCACAGUAGGCAUGCUCAGCACGAUGCGCACUUAAUGCCAUGAUGUUCCUCUGGAUUUAUUCAGCAUUGCCUUCUGAUGGCUUCUGCUCUCAGUGGCUGAAAAGAUACACCAAUUUUACACAGACUCCCACCGUUUCCAUCCACUCAGGAUUAAAGCAAACUGUCUGCAAGAUUAAGCUCUACAGAAAAGAACAAGUGAAAUAAAUGAGAGGGCAACCAGCGGCCUGCUAAUUAU